GUUUGGUUUUGCCUUCCUUGAAUUUUUCUUCCUCUGACUAAUUUGAAUUCCUCAUUCGGUAAACCGUUUACUGAUCCAAAUCAUGAGAUUAUGUGUACCUGUGCAAGUGUGUUUGUCCACGCCGAGGUGGUAACCAUGUCGACAGGAGCAGUGGUACCCUCCGAUGUAGUUGUGACAGAACUGGGUGCAUCCGUUCUCGGGAUCGUCCUCACAUUCGUCAAAGUCUAAGAGAGCAAAAAGAGAGACGAGAAGACGGACUUACACCACUCUCAUGUCUUUAUGGUAAAAACAUAGCCGGAUAAACAAAUGAUACAAAUCACCAUAGACAAAUUAACCCUGGACACUGAUUUUUCUUUUAUUUAUGACAUGAAAAAUAUCUAAAAAUGUUACUGUUUCCAAGUCAACUUUAACAGCUAUAAACUGCAACCAUUGUGAAUUGUUGUCUAAAAAUAUCUCUAUAUGUAUGCUUA